UACGUAGGGACCAAGCGUUGUUCGGAUUUACUGGGCGUAAAGGGCGCGUAGGCGGCAUGACAAGUCACUUGUGAAAUCUCCGGGCUUAACUCGGAACGGUCAAGUGAUACUGUCGCGCUAGAGUGCGGAAGGGGCAACUGGAAUUCUCGGUGUAGCGGUGAAAUGCGUAGAUAUCGAGAGGAACACCUGCGGCGAAGGCGGGUUGCUGGGCUGACACUGACGCUGAUGCGCGAAAGCCAGGGGAGCGAACGGG
rnacentral:rRNA from 1 species